rnacentral:misc_RNA from 1 species
AUGUCCCACGGACACAGUCACGACGGAGCUCCGUGUGGAGGACAUCACGGUGAUGAUGGUGCCGGUGGCUCUCGACCAUCUGUCAACGAUGUGCAAGCGGUGAGUUUGAAUUUUUGUGAAAUUAUUGCAAAGUAUAAGUAGUUUAAGCUUGUCGAUCAACUUCGUCUUGCUGGUGUCGAUGUAUCCAACAUGCCCAACAUUCCAACUGCUCCACGUGACAUGGAUGAGGCGCGAUCGAAGAGCUUCCAGUUCUGGAGCACUCAACCAGUUCCACAAAUGGACGAAACCGUACCAGCCGAUGUGAACUGUGCUAUUGAAGAGAACAUCGCUCUUGACAAAGUCCGUGCGGAGCCAUUCUCCCUUCCAGCCGGAUUCCGCUGGUCCAACGUUGACUUAAGUGACGAGGAGCAGCUCAACGAGCUCUACAAUCUUCUUACCCGCAACUACGUUGAAGAUGAUGAUUCCAUGUUCCGCUUCGACUACUCCGCUGAUUUCCUGAAGUGGGCUCUCCAGGUGCCAGGAUUCCGUCCUGAAUGGCAUUGUGGAGUUCGUGCUGACAGCAACAACCGUUUAUUGGCCUUCAUCGGAGCUGUCCCACAAACCGUCCGCGUGUACGACAAGACUGUGAACAUGGUGGAGAUCAACUUCCUGUGCGUUCACAAGAAUCUCCGUUCUCGACGUGUGGCUCCAGUGCUCAUCAGGGAGAUUACCCGACGUGUAAACGUCACAGGAAUCUUCCAGGCCGCCUUCACUGCUGGAAUCGUUAUUCCAAAACCAGUUUCCGUGUGCCGCUACUAUCACCGAUCGCUCAAUCCACGAAAGCUUAUCGACGUUCGCUUCUCGCAUUUGUCUGCCAAAAUGACAAUGGCGAGAACAAUUAAGCUUUACAAGUUGCCUGAGGAGACGGCCACACGCAACCUUCGCGAGAUGAAAAGUACCGAUGUACCACAGGUUUUCAAGUUAUUGACUACAAGUCUGAAGCAAUACUCAUUGGCUCCAGUCUACAAUAGCGAGGAAGAACUUGCUCAUGCCCUUGUUCCUAAAAAGGGUGUCGUGUAUUCGUAUGUAGCAGAGAAUCAAAACGGUAAGAUUACCGAUUUCGUCUCGUUCUACUCUCUUCCAUCAACUGUUAUGGGACACACGACCCACAAGACCAUCUAUGCCGCUUAUCUCUACUACUACGUUGCUGGAUCAGUGACCCCCAAGCAGCUCAUCAAUGAUUCCCUUAUUCUAGCCAACCGUGAAAAGUUCGACGUUUUCAAUGCUCUCGAUCUGAUGCACAACGAGAAAAUCUUCUCGGAUCUCAAAUUCGGCAAAGGUGACGGCAAUCUUCAGUACUAUUUGUACAACUGGAAGUGCGCCGACAUGAAGCCAAGCCAAAUCGGGCUUGUUCUUCAAUAA